rnacentral:rRNA from 1 species
GUCCACGCCCUAAACGAUGGGUACUAGACGUCGGGAAGUUUAUCUUCUUGGUGUCGCAGCUAACGCAAUAAGUACCCCGCCUGGGGAGUACGGUCGCAAGAUUAAAACUCAAAGGAAUUGACGGGGCCCGCACAAGCGGUGGAGCAUGUGGUUUAAUUCGAUGCAACGCGAAAACCUUACCUGCCCUUGACAUCUGUGGAACUCUGCAGAGAUGUGGAGGUGCCUUCGGGAGCCACAAGACAGGUGCUGCAUGGCUGUCGU